rnacentral:rRNA from 1 species
AGUGAACGCUGGCUGUAGGCCUAACAUAUGCAAGUCGAACGGCAGCAUAGUAAUAGCUUGCUCUUACGGGUGGCUAUUUGCGGUUGGGUGAGGAAUACAUCGGAAUCUUCUUUUUCGUUGGGGAUAACGUUGGGUAACUUACGCUAAUACCGCAUACGACCUACUGGUGAUAGCAGUGGUUCUUUGGAUCUUGCGCGCUUUAAUGAGCCGAUGUCGGCUUAGCUAGUUUGCGUGGUACAGGCCCACCAAGGCUAAGUUCCAUUGCUGGUAUGUGAGGAAGAUCGGCCGCAAUGGAACUGAGACACGGUCCAGACACAUACGGGAGGCAGCAGGUGGGAAUAUUAAAAAAUGGGAUGAAGCCUGAACGAGCCAGACCGCGUGGGUGAAGAAGGCAUGCGGGUUGUAAAGCUCUUUUGAUGGGGAAGAAAAGCAGAAGAUUAAUACCCAGCUGUUUUGACGGUACCAAAAGAGUAAGCACCGGCUGACUUCGUG